rnacentral:ncRNA from 2 species
UAGGCUGCCUCCGCCAGUGGUUCACCAGUUCCCCGCGAGCUGGUGAGGCAACAGGGAACCCGGUGUGAGACCGGGACUGCCCCGCAGCGGUGAGUGGGAACGACCGCCGUCAUCGAGCACUGGGCCGCACGGCCUGGGAAGCGACGGCCAGUAGGACCGCCGGAGUGAUCCGGCGGGUGCCCGCGAGUCCGAAGACCUGCCACCGGUGCGUGUGCCGC